rnacentral:lncRNA from 1 species
UCGCUUAUAAAAGAGCUUAAAGGUCACUUGUCCCUUCCACUUAUACAAGAGCAUAAAGCUGACGUGUCCUGGUUGCUUGUAAUAUAGCUUAUAACUGACUUGUCCCUCUCUCUCUCUUAUAAAAGAGCUUAAACCUCACGUCUCCCUGUCACUUAUAAAAGAGCAUUCAGCUCACUUGUCUAUGUCGCUUAAAAAGAGCUCAAAGCUCAUGUGUCCAUGUCCCUUAUAAAAGAGCAUGAAGCGCACGUGUCUCUGUGGCCUAUAAAAGAGCUUAAAGCUCACUUCUCCCUGUUGCUUAUCAAAGAGCUUAAAAGUUACUUGUCCCUCCCCAUUUGUAAAUGUCCCUGACGUUUAUAAAAUUGCAUAUAGCUCAUGUGUCCUUGAUGCUUGUAAAAGAGCUUAAAGCUCACGUGUCUAUAUCGCUUAUAAAAGAGCUUAAGGCUCAUGUGUCUCUAUUGCUUAAGGCUCAUGUGUCCCUAUUGUUUAUAAAAGAGCUUAACGGUCACACGUCUCUCUUGCUUAUAAAAGAGCUUAAUGCUCAUUUAUCCUAAUGAUUAUGAAGUAGCACAAUGCUUAUGAAAGAACUUGCUCAAAUGUCCAUGUUGGUUAUGAAAAGCGUCUAAUGCUCAGGUAUCACUCAUAGCUUGAUUCUCACAUGUCCCUACUGCUUAUGAAAGAGCUUAAAGCUCACUUAUCGUGUGGCUUAUGAAAGAGCCUAAAGCUCACUUGCCCUUGUUACUUAUAAAGAGCAUAAAGCUCACUUGCCCAUGCUGCUUAUUGAAAACUUAAAGCUCACUUGUCCCUGUCAUUUGUAAAAGAACUUAAAGCUCACUUAUCCUCAUUGUUAAUUGAAGAGCUUAAAGCAUAAAGCUCACUUGUCCCUGCUGCAUAUUAAACAGCAUAAAGCUCGCGUGUCCCUAUGGCUUAUAGAAAAGCUUGAAGGUUAGUUGUCCCAGUCUCUUAUAGAAGAGUUUAAAGCUCACGCUCCCUGUUGCUUAUAAAAGAGAUUAAAAUAAUCUUGUCCAUGUCCCUAAUAGAACAACUUAAAGCUCACAUAAAAGAGCAUGUAGCUCACGUGUCCAUAUGGAUAUAAAAUAGCAUAAAGCUCAACGUUUCCUUCCCAUUUAUGAAAAAGCUUAGAGGUCACUUGUCCCUCUCGCUUAUAAAAGGGCUUAAAGCUCACGGGUCCCUGUUGUUUAAUAUAAGAGCUUAAAGCUCACUUUUCUCUGCCACUCGUAAAAGACCAUAAAGCUUACUUGCUCCUGCCGCUUAUAAAAGAGCGUAAAGCUCACUUGUCCCUGUCAUUUAUGAAAGAGUUUUAACGCUCACUUGUUCCCAUCAUUAAUUAAAGAGCUUGAAGCAUAACGCUCACUUGUCCCUGCUGCUUAUUAAAGAGCAUAAAGCCCACUUGUCCCUCUGGCUUAUGGAAAAGCUUAAAGGUUGCUUGUCCCUGUCUCCUAUAGAAGAGUUUAAAGCUCAUGUGUCCAUGUUGCUUAUAAAAGAGAUUAAUAUAAACUUGUCCAUGUCCCUACUAAAAUAACUUAAAGCUCACAUAAAAGAGCAUGACGCUCACGUGUCCCGAUGUUGAUUAUAAAAGAGCUUAAAGCUCACUUGUCCUCGUCGCUUGCAAAAGAGCUAAAGCUCACUUGUCCCCCCUCCCCCCGCGCUUAUAAAAGAACUUAAAAGCUCACUUGUCUCUGCCGCUUAUAGAAGAGCUCAAAGUUCUGGGGUCUGUGUAUAUAAAAGAGCUUAAAGCUCAUGUGUCCCGGUUGCUUAUAAAAGAGCUUAAAGCUCACUUGUCCCUCUCGUUUAUAAAAAAGAGCAUAAAGGUCACAUGUCUUUAUCGCUUCUUAAAGAGCUUAAAGCUCACUUGUCCCUAUGGCUUAUAAAAGAGCUUGAAGCUCAUUCGUCCUGCUGCUUAUAAAAGAGUAGGAAGCUCACGUGUCAAUGUGGCUCAUAAAAGAGCUUAAAGUUUGCUUGUCUCUGUAGCUUAUAAAAGGGCUUAAAGCUGAAAGCUCAUGUGUCCUAUUGGCUUAUAAAAGAGUUUAAAGCUCACGUGUCCCUUCUGUUCAUAAAAGAGUUUAGUGCUCAUGUGUCCCUCUUACUUACAAAAGAGCGCAAUGCUCAUGUGUCACUCCUAAGCAAGAGCUUAAUGCUCACAUGUCCCUGGUGCUUAUAAAAGAGCUUAAAGCUCAUGUGUCCCGGUUGCUUAUAAAAGUGCUUAACACUCACGUGUCCUUGCUUAAGAAAGAGUUUAAUGCUCAUAACCCAAUGAUUACGAAAUAGCUUGAUGAUCAUGUGUGAAAGCGCUUAAUGCUCAAAUGUCCCUGUUGCUUAUCUAAAAACUUUCUCGAGUGUCCCUGUUGCAUAUGAAAAGAGCUUAAUGCGCACGUAUCCCUCAGAGCUGAUGCUCACAUGUCCCUCAUGUGUCCCUGUGGCAUAUGAAAGAGCUUACAGCUCACUUGUCCCUAUCAAUUAUAAAAGUGCUUAAAGCUCACUUGUGCCUAUUCCUUAUUAAAGCGCCUAAAGCUUACGUGUUCCCUGUUGCUGAUAAAAGAGUUUCAAGUUUACUUGCCCCCAUCGCUUAUAAAAGAGCUUAAAGCUCACAUAAAAUAGCAUGAAGCUCACUUGUCCUUGUGAAUUAUAAAAGAGUUUAGAGCUCACUUGUCGGUGUCGCUUAUAAAAGAGCUUAAAGCUCACUUGUCCCUCCCACUUAUACAAGAGCAUAAAGCUCACGUGUCCUGGUUGCUUGUAAAAUAGCUUAUAGCUGACUUGUCCCUCUCUCUCGCUCUCUUAUAAAAGAGCUUAAACCUCACGUCUCCCUGUCACUUAUGAAAGAGCAUUCAGCUCACUUGUCUAUGUCACUUAUAAAGAGCUCAAAGCUCAUGUGUCUAUGUCCCUUAUAAAAGAGCAUGAAGCGCACGUGUCUCUGUGGCCUAUAAAAGAGCUUAAAGCUCACUUCUCCCUGUUGCUUAUCAAAGAGCUUAAAAGUUACUUGUCCCUCCCCAUUUGUAAAUGUCCCUGUCGUUUAUAAAAUUGCAUAUAGCUCAUGUGUCCUUGAUGCUUGUAAAAGAGCUUAAAGCUCACGUGUCUAUAUCGCUUAUAAAAGAGCUUAAAGCUCUAUAUCGCUUAUAAAAGGCUUAAAGCUCAUGUGUCUCUAUUGCUAAGGCUCAUGUGUCCCUAUUGUUUAUAAAAGAGCUUAACGGCACAGUUACUCUUGCUUAUAAAAGAGCUUAAUGCUCAUUUAUCCUAAUGAUUAUGAAGUAGCACAAUGCUUAUGAAAGAACUUGCUCAAAUGUCCAUGUUGCUUAUGAAAAGCGUCUAAUGCUCAGGUAUCACUCAUAGCUUGAUUCUCACAUGUCCCUACUGCUUAUGAAAGAGCUUAAAGCUCACUUAUCGUGUGGCUUAUGAAAGAGCCUAAAGCUCACUUGCCCUUGUUACUUAUAAAAUAGCAUAAAGCUCACUUGCCCAUGCUGCUUAUUGAAAAACUUUAAAGCUCACUUGUCCCUGUCAUUUGUAAAAGAACUUAAAGCUCACUUAUCCUCAUUGUUAAUUGAAGAGCUUAAAGAUAAAGCUCACUUAGGUCCCUCUGCAUAUUAAACACUAAAGCUCGCGUGUCCCUAUGGCUUAUAGAAAGCUUGAAGGUUAGUUGUCCCAGUCUCUUAUAAAAGAGUUUAAAGCUGACGCUCCCUGUUGCUUAUAAAAGAGAUUAAAAUAAUCUUGUCCAUGUCCCUAAUAGAACAUCUUAAAGUCACAUAAAAGAGAUGAGCUCACGUGUCCAUAUGGAUAUAAAAUAGCAUAAAGCUCAACGUUUCCUUCCCAUUUAUGAAAAAGCUUAGAGGUCACUUGUCUCUCUCGCUUAUAAAAGGGCUUAAAGCUCACGGGUCCCUGUUGUUUAAUAUAAGAGCUUAAAGUUCACCUUUCUCUGCCACUCGUAAAAGACCGUAAAGCUUACUUGCUCCUGCCGCUUAUAAAAGAGCGUAAAACUCACUUGUCCCUGUCAUUUAUGAAAGAGUUUUAACGAUCACUUGUUCCCAUCAUUAAUUAAAGAGCUUGAAGCAUAACGCUCACUUGUCCCUGCUGCUUAUUAAACAACAUAAAGCCCACUUGUCCCUCUGGCUUAUGGAAAAGCUUAAAGGUUGCUCGUCCCUGUCUCCUAUAGAAGAGUUUAAAGCUCAUGUGUCCAUGUUGCUACUAAAAUAACUUAAAGCUCACAUAACAGAGCAUGACGCUCACAUAUCCCGAUGUUGAUUAUAAAAGAGCUUAAAGCUCACUUGUCCUCGUCGCUUGCAAAAGAGCUUAAAGCUCACUUGUCCUCGUCGCUUGCAAAAGAGCUAAAGCUCACUUGUCCCCCAACGCCCCCGCUUAUAAAGAGCUUAAAAGCUCACUGUCUCUGCGCUUAUAAAGAGUUAAAGUUCUGGGGUCUGUAUAAAAGAGCUUAAAGCUCACUUGUCCCCUCGUUUAUAAAAAAGAGCAUAAAGGUCACAUGUCUUUAUCGCUUCUUAAAGAGCUUAAAGCUACUUGUCCCUAUGGCUUAUAAAAGAGCUUGAAGCUCAUUCGUCCUGCUGUUAAAAGAGUAUGAAGUUCACGUGUCCCUGUGGCUCAUAAAAGAGCUUAAACUUUGCUUCUCCCUGUAGCUUAUAAGGCGUAAAGAACUAUGUCAGUGUUCCUAUGGUAUAAAGUUUAAAGCUCACGUGUCCCUUCUGUUCACAGAAGAGUUUAGUGCUCAUGUGUCCCUCUUACUUACAAAAGAGCGCAAUGCUCAUGUGUCACUCCUAAGCAAGAGCUUAAUGCUCACAUGUCCCUGGUGCUUAUAAAAGAGCUUAAAGCUCAUGUGUCCCGGUUGCUUAUAAAAGUGCUUAAGACUCACGUGUCCUUGCUUAAAAUGCUCAUAACCCAAUGAUUACGAAAUAGCUUGAUGAUCAUGUGUGAAAGCGCUUGAUGCUCAAAUGUCCCUGUUGCUUAUCUAAAAACUUUCUCGAGUGUCCCUGUUGCAUAUGAAAAGAGCUUAAUGCGCACGUAUCCCUCAGAGCUGAUGCUCACAUGUCCCUCAUGUGUCCCUGUGGCAUAUGAAAGAGCUUACAGCUCACUUGUCCCUAUCAAUUAUAACAGAGCUUAAAGCUCACUUGUCCCUAUUCCUUAUUAAAGCGCCUAAAGCUUACGUGUUCCGUGUUGCUUAUAAAAGAGUUUCAAGUUUACUUGCCCCCAUCACUUAUAAAAGAGCUUAAAGCUCACAUAAAAUAGCAUGAAGCUCACUUGUCCUUGUGAAUUAUAAAAGAGUUUAGAGCUCACUUGUCGGUGUCGCUUAUAAAAGAGCUUAAAGCUCACUUGUCCCUACUUAUACAAGAGCAUAAAGCUACGUGUCCUGGUUGCUUGUAAAUAGCUUAUAGAUUCCUCUCUCUCUCUUAUAAAAGAGCUUAAACCUCACGUCUCCCUGUCACUUAUAAAAGAGCAUUCAGCUCACUUGUCUAUGUCUUAAAAGAGCUCAAAGCUCAUGUGUCCAUGUCCCUUAUAAAAGAGCAUGAAGCGCACGUGUCUCUGUGGCCUAUAAAAGAGCUUAAAGCUCACUUCUCCCUGUUGCUUAUCAAAGAGCUUAAAAGUUACUUGUCCCUCCCCAUUUGUAAAUGUCCCUGCGUUUAUAAAAUUGCAUAUAGCUCAUGUGUCCUUGAUGCUUGUAAAAGAGCUUAAAGCUCACGUGUCUAUAUCGCUUAUAAAAGAGCUUAAGGCUCAUGUGUC